UACGUAGGGUGCAAGCGUUGUCCGGAAUUACUGGGUGUAAAGGGAGCGCAGGCGGAUUGACAAGUUGGGAGUGAAAACUACAGGCUCAACCCGUAACCUGCUUUCAAAACUGUCAGUCUUGAGUGGUGUAGAGGUAGGCGGAAUUCCCGGUGUAGCGGUGGAAUGCGUAGAUAUCGGGAGGAACACCAGUGGCGAAGGCGGCCUACUGGGCACUAACUGACGCUGAGGCUCGAAAGCAUGGGUAGCAAACAGG
rnacentral:rRNA from 1 species